rnacentral:lncRNA from 1 species
CUAUAAGACAGGCUUUGAGACUUGGUGAGCCUUUGCAUGCCUCAGGAAUUUCUGCGAAUGCUUUGGAGUCUGCUCGCCUUCUCGUGGUCGAGCAGAUCCUGGCAUGCUUGGCUUCUGUCUCGCCAUAAGACAGGCUUUGAGACUUUGUUGAGCCUUUGCAUGCCUUCGAAUCUUCAAGGAUUGGGAUGCUGCUCGCCUUCUCGUGGCCGAGUAGAUCCUGGCAUGCUUGGCUUCUGUCUCGCCAUAAGACAGGCUUUGAGACUUUGUUGAGCCUUUGCAUGCCUUUGAAUCUUCAAGGAUUGGGAUGUUGCUCGCCUUCUCGUGGCCGAGCAGAUCCUGGCAUGCUUGGCUUCUGUCUCGCCAUAAGACAGGCAUUGAGACUUUGAUGAGCCUUUGCAUGCCUUUGAAUCUUCAAGGAUUGGGAUGCUGCUCGCCUUCUCGUGGCCGAGCAGAUCCUGGCAUGCUUGGCUUCUGUCUCGCUAUAAGACAGGCUUUGAGACUUGGUGAGCCUUUGCAUGCCUUUGAAUCUUCAAGGAUUGGGAUGCUGCUCGCCUUCUCGUGGCCGAGCAGAUCCUGGCAUGCUUGGCUUCUGUCUCGCUAUAAGACAGGCUUUGAGACUUGGUGAGCCUUUGCAUGCCUCAGGAAUUUCUGCGAAUGCUUUGGAGUCUGCUCGCCUUCUCGUGGUCGAGCAGAUCCUGGCAUGCUUGGCUUUUAUCUCGCCAUAAGAAAGGCUUGAGACUUUGAUGAGCCUUUGCAUGCCUCAGGAAUUUCUUCGAAUGCUUUGGAGUCUGCUCGCCUUCUCGUGGUCGAGCAGAUCCUGGCAUGCUUGGCUUCUGUCUCGCCAUAAGACAGGCUUUGAGACUUUGUUGAGCCUUUGCAUGCCUUUGAUUCUUCAAGGAUUUGGAUGCUGCUCGCAUUCUCGUGGCCGAGCAGAUCCUGGCAUGUUUGGCUUCUGUCUCGCCAUAAGACAGGCUUUGAGACUUGGUGAGCCUUUGCAUGACUCGUGAAUUUCUUCGAAUGCUUUGGAGUGUGGUUGCCUUCUUGUGGUCGAGCAGAUCCUGGCAUGCUUGGCUUCUGUUUUGCCAUAAGAAAGGCUUUGAGAAUUUGAUGAGCCUUUGCAUGCCUCAGGAAUUUCUUUGAAUGCUUUGGAGUGUGCUCGCCUUCUCGUGGUCGAGCAGAUCCUGGCAUGCUUGGCUUGUGUCUCGCCAUAAGAAAGGCUUUGAGACUUUGAUGAGCCUUUGCAUGCGUCAGGAAUUUCUUUGUAUGCUUUGGAGUCUGCUCGCCUUCUCGUGGCCGAGCAGAUCCUGGCAUGCUUGGCUUCUGUCUCGCCAUAAGACAGGCUUUGAGACUUUGAUGAGCCUUUGCAUGCCUUUGAAUCUUCAAGGAUUGGGAUGCUGCUCGCCUUCUCGUGGCCGAGCAGAUCCUGUNNNNNNNNNNNNNNNNNNNNNNNNNNNNNNNNNNNNNNNNNNNNNNNNNNNNNNNNNNNNNNNNNNNNNNNNNNNNNNNNNNNNNNNNNNNNNNNNNNNNNNNNNNNNNNNNNNNNNNNNNNNNNNNNNNNNNNNNNNNNNNNNNNNNNNNNNNNNNNNNNNNNNNNNNNNNNNNNNNNNNNNNNNNNNNNNNNNNNNNNNNNNNNNNNNNNNNNNNNNNNNNNNNNNNNNNNNNNNNNNNNNNNNNNNNNNNNNNNNNNNNNNNNNNAAGAAAGGCUUUGAGACUUGGUGAGCCUUUGCAUGCCUCAGGAAUUUCUUCGAAUGCUUUGGAGUAUGCUCGCCUUCUCGUGGUCGAGCAGAUCCAGGCAUGCUUGGCUUCUGUCUCGCCAUAAGAAAGGCUUUGAGACUUUGAUGAGCCUUUGCAUGCCUUAGGAAUUUCUUCGAAUGCUUUGGAGUCUGCUCGCCUUCUCGUGGUCGAGCAGAUCCUGGCAUGCUUGGCUUCUGUCUCGCCAUAAGACAGGCUUUGAGACUUUGUUGAGCCUUUGCAUGCCUUUGAUUCUUCAAGGAUUGGGAUGCUGCUCGCAUUCUCGUGGCCGAGCAGAUCCUGGCAUGCUUGGCUUCUGUCUCGCCAUAAGACAGGCAUUGAGACUUUGUUGAGCCUUUGCAUGCCUUUGAUUCUUCAAGGAUUGGGAUGCUGCUCGCCUUCUCGUGGCCGAGCAGAUCCUGGCAUGCUUGGCUUCUGUCUCGCCGUAAGACAGGCUUUGAGACUUUGAUGAGCCUUUGCAUGCCUUUGAAUCUUCAAGGAUUGGGAUGCUGCUCGCCUUCUCGUGGCCGAGCAGAUCCUGGCAUGCUUGGCUUCUGUCUCGCCAUAAGACAGGCUUUGAGACUUUGUUGAGCCUUUGCAUGCCGUUGAAUCUUCAAGGAUUGGGAUGUUGCUCGCCUUCUCGUGGCCGAGCAGAUCCUGGCAUGCUUGGCUUCUGUCUCGCCAUAAGACAGGCAUUGAGACUUUGAUGAGCCUUUGCAUGCCUUUGAAUCUUCAAGGAUUGGGAUGCUGCUCACCUUCUCGUGGCCGAGCAGAUCCUGGCAUGCUUGGCUUCUGUCUCGCCAUAAGACAGGCAUUGAGACUUUGAUGAGCCUUUGCAUGCCUUUGAAUCUUCAAGGAUUGGGAUGCUGCUCACCUUCUCGUGGCCGAGCAGAUCCUGGCAUGCUUGGCUUCUGUCUCGCCAUAAGACAGGCUUUGAGACUUUGAUGAGCCUUUGCAUGCCUUUGAAGCUUCAAGGAUUGGGAUGCUGCUCGCCUUCUCGUGGCCGAGCAGAUCCUAGCAUGCUUGGCUUCUGUCUCGCCAUAAGACAGGCUGUGAGACUUUGAUGAUCCUUUGCAUGCCUUUGAAUCUUCAAGGAUUGGGAUGCUGCUCCCCUUCUCGUGGCCGAGCAGAUCCUGGCAUGCUUGGCUUCUGUCUUGCCAUAAGACAGGCUUUGAGACUUUGAUCAGCCUUUGCAUGCCUUCGAAUCUUCAAGGAUUGGGAUGCUGCUCGCCUUCUCGUGGCCGAGCAGAUCCUGGCAUGCUUGGCUUCUGUCUCGCCAUAAGACAGGCUUUGAGACUUUGUUGAGCCUUUGCAUGCCUUCGAAUCUUCAAGGAUUGGGAUGCUGCUCGCCUUCUCGUGGCCGAGCAGAUCCUGGCAUGCUUGGCUUCUGUCUCGCCAUAAGACAGGCUUUGAGACUUUGUUGAGCCUUUGCAUGCCUUCGAAUCUUCAAGGAUUGGGAUGCUGCUCGCCUUCUCGUGGCCGAGCAGAUCCUGGCAUGCUUGGCUUCUGUCUCGCCAUAAGACAGGCUUUGAGACUUUGAUGAGCCUUUGCAUGCCUUUGAAUCUUCAAGGAUUGGGAUGCUGCUCGCCUUCUCGUGGCCGAGCAGAUCCUGGCAUGCUUGGCUUCUGUCUCGCCAUAAGACAGGCAUUGAGACUUUGAUGAGCCUUUGCAUGCCUUUGAAUCUUCAAGGAUUGGGAUGCUGCUCGCCUUCUCGUGGCCGAGCAGAUCCUGGCAUGCUUGGCUUCUGUCUCGCUAUAAGACAGGCUUUGAGACUUGGUGAGCCUUUGCAUGCCUCAGGAAUUUCUGCGAAUGCUUUGGAGUCUGCUCGCCUUCUCGUGGUCGAGCAGAUCCUGGCAUGCUUGGCUUCUGUCUCGCCAUAAGACAGGCUUUGAGACUUUGUUGAGCCUUUGCAUGCCUUUGAUUCUUCAAGGAUUGGGAUGCUGCUCGCAUUCUCGUGGCCGAGCAGAUCCUGGCAUGCUUGGCUUCUGUCUCGCCAUAAGACAGGCUUUGAGACUUGGUGAGCCUUUGCAUGACUCGGGAAUUUCUUCGAAUGCUUUGGAGUCUGCUCGCCUUCUCGUGGUCGAGCAGAUCCUGGCAUGCUUGGCUUCUGUCUCGCCAUAAGACAGGCUUUGAGACUUGGUGAGCCUUUGCAUGACUCGGGAAUUUCUUCGAAUGCUUUGGAGUCUGCUCGCCUUCUCGUGGUCGAGCAGAUCCUGGCAUGCUUGGCUUCUGUCUCGCCAUAAGAAAGGCUUUGAGACUUUGAUGAGCCUUUGCAUGCCUCAGGAAUUUCUUCGAAUGCUUUGGAGUCUGCUCGCCUUCUCGUGGUCGAGCAGAUCCUGGCAUGCUUGGCUUCUGUCUCGCCAUAAGAAAGGCUUUGAGACUUUGAUGAGCCUUUGCAUGCGUCAGGAAUUUCUUCGUAUGCUUUGGAGUCUGCUCGCCUUCUCGUGGCCGAGCAGAUCCUGGCAUGCUUGGCUUCUGUCUCGCCAUAAGACAGGCUUUGAGACUUUGAUGAGCCUUUGCAUGCCUUUGAAUCUUCAAGGAUUGGGAUGCUGCUCGCCUUCUCGUGGCCGAGCAGAUCCUGGCAUGCUUGGCUUCUGUCUCGCUAUAAGACAGGCUUUGAGACUUGGUGAGCCUUUGCAUGCCUCAGGAAUUUCUGCGAAUGCUUUGGAGUCUGCUCGCCUUCUCGUGGUCGAGCAGAUCCAGGCAUGCUUGGCUUCUGUCUCGCCAUAAGACAGGCUUUGAGACUUGGUGAGCCUUUGCAUGACUCGGGAAUUUCUUCGAAUGCUUUGGAGUCUGCUCGCCUUCUCGUGGUCGAGCAGAUCCUGGCAUGCUUGGCUUCUGUCUCGCCAUAAGAAAGGCUUUGAGACUUUGAUGAGCCUUUGCAUGCGUCAGGAAUUUCUUCGUAUGCUUUGGAGUCUGCUCGCCUUCUCGUGGCCGAGCAGAUCCUGGCAUGCUUGGCUUCUGUCUCGCCAUAAGACAGGCAUUGAGACUUUGAUGAGCCUUUGCAUGCCUUUGAAUCUUCAAGGAUUGGGAUGCUGCUCACCUUCUCGUGGCCGAGCAGAUCCUGGCAUGCUUGGCUUCUGUCUCGCCAUAAGACAGGCAUUGAGACUUUGAUGAGCCUUUGCAUGCCUUUGAAUCUUCAAGGAUUGGGAUGCUGCUCGCCUUCUCGUGGCCGAGCAGAUCCUGGCAUGCUUGGCUUCUGUCUCGCCAUAAGACAGGCAUUGAGACUUUGAUGAGCCUUUGCAUGCCUUUGAAUCUUCAAGGAUUGGGAUGCUGCUCGCCUUCUCGUGGCCGAGCAGAUCCUGGCAUGCUUGGCUUCUGUCUCGCUAUAAGACAGGCUUUGAGACUUGGUGAGCCUUUGCAUGCCUCAGGAAUUUCUGCGAAUGCUUUGGAGUCUGCUCGCCUUCUCGUGGUCGAGCAGAUCCUGGCAUGCUUGGCUUCUGUCUCGCCAUAAGAAAGGCUUUGAGACUUUGAUGAGCCUUUGCAUGCCUCAGGAAUUUCUUCGAAUGCUUUGGAGUCUGCUCGCCUUCUCGUGGUCGAGCAGAUCCUGGCAUGCUUGGCUUCUGUCUCGCCAUAAGACAGGCUUUGAGACUUUGUUGAGCCUUUGCAUGCCUUUGAUUCUUCAAGGAUUUGGAUGCUGCUCGCAUUCUCGUGGCCGAGCAGAUCCUGGCAUGCUGGGCUUCUGUCUCGCCAUAAGACAGGCUUUGAGACUUGGUGAGCCUUUGCAUGACUCGGGAAUUUCUUCGAAUGCUUUGGAGUCUGCUCGCCUUCUCGUGGUCGAGCAGAUCCUGGCAUGCUUGGCUUCUGUCUCGCCAUAAGAAAGGCUUUGAGACUUGGUGAGCCUUUGCAUGCCUCAGGAAUUUCUUCGAAUGCUUUGGAGUAUGCUCGCCUUCUCGUGGUCGAGCAGAUCCUGGCAUGCUUGGCUUCUGUCUCGCCAUAAGAAAGACUUUGAGACUUUGAUGAGCCUUUGCAUGCGUCAGGAAUUUCUUCGUAUGCUUUGGAGUCUGCUCGCCUUCUCGUGGCCGAGCAGAUCCUGGCAUGCUUGGCUUCUGUCUCGCCAUAAGACAGGCUUUGAGACUUUGAUGAGCCUUUGCAUGCCUUUGAAUCUUCAAGGAUUGGGAUGCUGCUCGCCUUCUCGUGGCCGAGCAGAUCCUGGCAUGCUUGGCUUCUGUCUCGCCAUAAGACAGGCAUUGAGACUUUGAUGAGCCUUUGCAUGCCUUU